AAAGAUAGGAAGAAAUUCCUGCUUUGGUGUGAUGGUGGUCUAUCCAAACUGGAGAGAGGAAUGCGUUGAUUUUUGACAACCAGAUUACGUUGAUUCUGAGGUUAUGAGUCAGCUGAAAGCUAAUGGCUACUGGUUAGGAAUCAUUUAGGUCCUGGUCGUCUUUUGGACCUGCUUUAGUUGUACUCCCUCCGUUUCAUAAUAGAUGACUCAACUUUGUACUAAGUUUAGUACAAAAUUAGUAUAAAGUUGGAUCAUCUAUUUUGGAACGAAGGGAGUACUUGGCAGUUUCUCUGCGUUUUUCUAGACUACUUGUCGUUGAGUGCUGACCACCCUCUGUUGUUUCUCUGUCAUGCAACUCUCCUACAUGGUUAAAAAACUAAUUUAGACAUUUUGUUUCUUUGACCGUUACUCAUUUCUCUUAUCCUUGUUGUAUCAAAUCAAUUGUAUCAUCAUUGAUGGCCGUUUUUCUUUCUUUCCGUGAUCUUUUUUUAGCAGAAUGAGAUGUGGCAUAAACUCCUCCGAAAUGUUUGGUUACCUUCAAACAAUUUAUUAGCUAACUAAUUUUGGUUGUUGUUGCACACAAUACAAUUGUACUUUGUUGUUGCCAUCUUGCCUUUUAUGUGAGCUUAACUCUACAAUAAAUUAAACUUUUAC
rnacentral:lncRNA from 1 species